rnacentral:rRNA from 1 species
GGCAACUUCCAUAUCACGUUCAAAACUACCAGUUCUCGUCCGAUCACUGAAGUCAAGCAACGUUGAGCAUGGUUAGUACUUGGAUGGG